CGGACGGGUGAGUAAUGUCUGGGAAACUGCCUGAUGGAGGGGGAUAACUACUGGAAACGGUAGCUAGUACCGCAUAACGUCGCAAGACCAAAGAGGGGGACCUUAGGGCCUCUUGCCAUCGGAUGUGCCCAGAUGGGAUUAGCUAGUAGGUGGGGUAAUGGCUCACCUAGGCGACGAUCCCUAGCUGGUCUGAGAGGAUGACCAGCCACACUGGAACUGAGACACGGUCCAG
rnacentral:rRNA from 1 species